rnacentral:rRNA from 1 species
UACGAAGGGGGCUAGCGUUGUUCGGAAUCACUGGGCGUAAAGCGCACGUAGGCGGACGUUUAAGUCAGGGGUGAAAUCCCAGGGCUCAACCCUGGAACUGCCCUUGAUACUGGACGUCUCGAGUCCGGGAGAGGUGAGUGGAACUCCGAGUGUAGAGGUGAAAUUCGUAGAUAUUCGGAAGAACACCAGUGGCGAAGGCGGCUCACUGGCCCGGUACUGACGCUGAGGUGCGAAAGCGUGGGGAGCAAACAGGAUUAGAAACCCCAGUAGUCC